rnacentral:rRNA from 1 species
AUUGAACGCUGGCGGCAGGCCUAACACAUGCAAGUCGAGCGGAUGAGUGGAGCUUGCUCCAUGAUUCAGCGGCGGACGGGUGAGUAAUGCCUAGGAAUCUGCCUGGUAGUGGGGGACGACGUUUCGAAAGGAACGCUAAUACCGCAUACGUCCUACGGGAGAAAGUGGGGGAUCUUCGGACCUCACGCUAUCAGCUGAGCCUAGGUCGGAUUAGCUAGUUGGUGAGGUAAAGGCUCACCAAGGCGACGAUCCGUAACUGGUCUGAGAGGAUGAUCAGUCACACUGGAACUGAGACACGGUCCAGACUCCUACGGGAGGCAGCAGUGGGGAAUAUUGGACAAUGGGCGAAAGCCUGAUCCAGCCAUGCCGCGUGUGUGAAGAAGGUCUUCGGAUUGUAAAGCACUUUAAGUUGGGAGGAAGGGCAGUAAGUUAAUACCUUGUUGUUUUGACGUUACCAACAGAAUAAGCACCGGCUAACUUCGUGCCAGCCGCCGCCGAACAC